GACGAACGCUGGCGACGUGCUUAACACAUGCAAGUCGAACGAUGAAGCCUAGCUUGCUAGGUGGAUUAGUGGCGAACGGGUGAGUAAUACGUGAGUAACCUACCUUUAACUCUGGGAUAAGCCUGGGAAACUGGGUCUAAUACCGGAUACGACCAAUCUCCGCAUGGGGUGUUGGUGGAAAGCGUUAUGUAGUGGUUAUAGAUGGGCUCACGGCCUAUCAGCUUGUUGGUGAGGUAACGGCUCACCAAGGCGACGACGGGUAGCCGGCCUGAGAGGGUGACCGGCCACACUGGGACUGAGACACGGCCCAGACUCCUACGGGAGGCAGCAGUGGGGAAUAUUGCACAAUGGGCGCAAGCCUGAUGCAGCGACGCCGCGUGAGGGAUGACGGCCUUCGGGUUGUAAACCUCUGUUAGCAGGGAAGAAGAGAAAUUGACGGUACCUGCAGAGAAAGCGCCGGCUAACUACGUG
rnacentral:rRNA from 1 species